GGGCCGACCCUGAGGGUCAGGUGAGGCCCUUAGGGCACAGCAGUGCCAUCUCCCCUGUGCUCCCAGGGCCUCUCCUGUCCCUCGAGGUCGGCCC
ensembl:miRNA